rnacentral:rRNA from 1 species
AUCUACGGCCAUACCACCCUGAACGUGCCUGACCUAGUCUGAUCUUGGAAGCUAAGCAGGGUUGGGCCUGGUUAGUACUUGGAUGGGAGACCACCUGGGAAAACAGGGUGCUGUAGGCA